rnacentral:lncRNA from 1 species
AUUAUUGUUCAUCCUCAACCACACAAGCUGGGGCAGUUUUUUGAAGUGAGGGUCAUAACCUCUGUUUAGAAAGAUUAUCGUGAAGACUAUGACAAAGAUACUGGGGCAAUUUAUUGGACGAUCCAACUCUUCCAAUAAAUUCUUAACAUGACACUGGGGCAGAACGGGUGGUGAGGUGCUGGCAGAUAGUCACUUUCAACCAUGUCCAACAUGGGUCGCA